CGAAAUUGGUGCGCAAAACUCAGCUGCAAGUAUUUUUCCAUGGAAUUCAGAGAAGAAAGCAGGCUUCCACGAACGAUAUAUCAAUGAAGAGAUAUGUGAAAAAACACCUUGAGGAUUGAUUCCAAACAACGUUUGCCAUGUUUCGGUCGAUGUUAUGGAGUUAAUUCGGAAAAGGUUUGAUGUUGUAGGUGACUGAAUUUUCGGUUCAUUUCGGUAGCCAAAUGUGAUUUUCUCCUACACAAAGACGCUUUCAGGAAAAACUGCACAUUUGCUAUGUAACUGAGAGUCUCCUCAUUGAAAACAUCCAAAGCUCUUCUAAGGAUACCUUCAUCCUCUCACAACACAGAAAGUCUUGAUUGAGAGAGAUGAGAAAGGGACUGGUACAGACGUAACUUCAAAAUCACCUAGCUUACGGGCAGAGUGGCUUUCCACGACAUCUGGAUAACGCUUACAGAGAGAAGGGGCUGGAAGAAAGGAAGCCCUACCAUAUGAUACUCCUAUUUGCCACAUCUUCAAUUUAAGCUUACUAGAGAGCAUGUUCCCUCAGGCCUGGAGGGAAGCUAAAGUCAUUCUGCUACCCAAGAAUAGUAAAGCCCCCUUUACUGGCUCAAAUAGCUGACCAAUCAGCCUGUUACCAACCCUCAGUAAACUUCUGGAAAAAAAUGUGUGUUGACCAGAUACAAUGCUAUUUUACAGUAAACAAAUUGACAACAGCAUUUCAGCAUGCUUAUAGGGAAGGACACUCAACAAGCACAGCACUUACACAAAUGACUGAUGAUUGGCUGAGAGAAAUUGUGGGGGCUGUCUUGUUAGACUUCAGUGCAACUUUCGACAUUAUUGAUAAUAGUCUGCUGUUGGAAAAACAUGUGUUAUGGCUUUACACACCCUGCUAUAAUCUGGAUAUAGAAUUACUUGUCUAACAGAACACAGAGGGUGUUCUUUAAUGGAAGCCUCUCAAAUAUAAUCCAGUUAGAAUCAGGAAUCCCCCAGGGUAACUGUUUAGGCCCCUUGGUUUUUUUUCAAUUCCUACCAACAACAUGUCACUGACUUUGAGUAAAGCCAGAGUGUCUAUGUAUGCGGAUGACUCAACACUAUACAUGUCAGAUUCUACAGCGACUGAAAUGACUGCAACACUCAACAAAGAGCUGAAGUUAGUUUCAGAGUGGGUGGCAAGGAAUAAGUUAGCCCUAAAUAUUUAUAAAACUAAAAGCAUUGCAUUUGGAACAAAACAUUCACUAAACCCUAAACCUGAACUAGAUCUUGCAAUAAAUAAUGUGGUAAUUGAGCAAUCUUAGCUACUGCUUGGAGUAACCCUAGAUUGUAAUCUGUCAUGGUCAAAACAUAUUGAUGCAGCAGUAGCUAAGAUGGGGAGAAGUCUGUCUCUAAUAAAGCGAUGCUCUGCCUUCUUAACAACACUUUCAACAAGGCAGGUUCUACAGGCCCUAGUUUUGUCGCACCUUGACAACUGUUCAGUUGUGUGGUUAGGUGCCACAAAAAAGGACUUAGGAAAAUUGCAAUUGACUCAAAACACGGCAGCACGGCUGGCCCUUGGAUGUACACAGAGAACUAAUAUUAAUAAUAUGCAUGUCAAUCUCUCCUGGCUGAAAGUAGAGGAGAGAUUGACUUCAUCACUACUGCGACCUGUAUGCUCUUGUUGGCUGACAUUCGCUACAUAUUCGUCGCCAAACCCACUGGCUCCCGGUCAUUUAUAAGUCUUUGCUAGUAAAGCCCCGCCUUAUCUCAGCUCAAUGGUCACCAUAGCAACACCCACUCCUAGCACGCGCUCCAGCAGGUAUAUUUCACUGGUGAUCCCCAAAGCUAACUCCUCUUUGGCCGCCUUUCCUUCCAGUUUUCUGCUGCCAAUGACUGGAAUGAAUUGCAAAAGUCACCGAAGCUGGAGAGUUAAAUCUCCCUCUAAACUUUAAGCAUCAUCUGUCAGAACAGCUUAUCGAUCACUGUACCUGUACACAGCCCAUCUGUAAAUAGCACACCCAACGACCUCAUCCCCAUAUUAUAAUUUAUUUUUUUGCUAUUUUGCACCUCAGUAUCUCUACUUGCACAUCAUCAUCUGCACAUCUAUCACUCCAGUGUUAAUGCUAAAUUGUAAUUAUUUUGCCUCUAUGGCCUAUUUAUUGCCUUUACCUCCCUAAUCUUACUCCAUUUGAACACACUGUACAUAGACUUUUUCUAUUGUGUUAUUGACUGUACAUAUGUUUAUACCAUGUGUAACUCUGCGUUUGUUGUUUUUGUCGCAAUGCUUUGCUUUAUCUUGGCCAAGUCGCAGUUGUAAAUGAGAACUUGUUCUCAACUGGCCUACCUGGUUAAAUAAAGGUGAAAUAAAAAAAGUAAAUAAAAACAAGAGAGGUAUUGACAUGUUGAGUGUACCGAGCUGUCUGUCUAAACUACUGGCACACAGCUCGGACACCCAUGCGUACCCCACAAGACAUGCCACAAGAGGUCUCUUCACAGUCCCCAAGUCCAGAACAGACUAUGGGAGGCACACAGUACUACAUGGAACUCUAUUCCACAUAAAGUAACUGACACAAGCAGUAAAAUUAGAUUGAAAAAAGAGAUAAAAAAACACAAUAUGGAACAGCAGGGACUGUGAAGCAACACAAACAUUGGCACACGCACACACACACACGAUAACAUACGUACUCUACAAACACAUGGAUUUAGUACUGUAGAUAUGUGGUAGUGGUGCAGUAGGUCCCUGAGGGCACACGGUGUGUUGUAAAAUCUGUGAAUGUAUUGUAAUGUUUUUAAAAUUGUAUAACCUGCCUUAAUUUUGCUGGACCCAAGGAAGAGUAGCUCCUGCUUUGGCAGCAGCUAAUGGGGAUCCAUAAUAAAUAUAAAU